rnacentral:rRNA from 1 species
GGGUUGUGAGGUUAAGCGACUAAGCGUACACGGUGGAUGCCCUGGCAGUCAGAGGCGAUGAAGGACGUGCUAAUCUGCGAUAAGCGUCGGUAAGGUGAUAUGAACCGUUAUAACCGGCGAUUUCCGAAUGGGGAAACCCAGUGUGAUUCGUCACACUAUCAUUAACUGAAUCCAUAGGUUAAUGAGGCGAACCGGGGGAACUGAAACAUCUAAGUACCCCGAGGAAAAGAAAUCAACCGAGAUUCCCCCAGUAGCGGCGAGCGAACGGGGAGCAGCCCAGAGCCUGAAUCAGUGUGUGUGUUAGUGGAAGCGUCUGGAAAGGCGCGCGAUACAGGGUGACAGCCCCGUACACAAAAAUGCACAUGCUGUGAGCUCGAUGAGUAGGGCGGGACACGUGGUAUCCUGUCUGAAUAUGGGGGGACCAUCCUCCAAGGCUAAAUACUCCUGACUGACCGAUAGUGAACCAGUACCGUGAGGGAAAGGCGAAAAGAACCCCGGCGAGGGGAGUGAAAAAGAACCUGAAACCGUGUACGUACAAGCAGUGGGAGCACGCUUAGGCGUGUGACUGCGUACCUUUUGUAUAAUGGGUCAGCGACUUAUAUUCUGUAGCAAGGUUAACCGAAUAGGGGAGCCGAAGGGAAACCGAGUCUUAACUGGGCGUUAAGUUGCAGGGUAUAGACCCGAAACCCGGUGAUCUAGCCAUGGGCAGGUUGAAGGUUGGGUAACACUAACUGGAGGACCGAACCGACUAAUGUUGAAAAAUUAGCGGAUGACUUGUGGCUGGGGGUGAAAGGCCAAUCAAACCGGGAGAUAGCUGGUUCUCCCCGAAAGCUAUUUAGGUAGCGCCUCGUGAAUUCAUCUCCGGGGGUAGAGCACUGUUUCGGCAAGGGGGUCAUCCCGACUUACCAACCCGAUGCAAACUGCGAAUACCGGAGAAUGUUAUCACGGGAGACACACGGCGGGUGCUAACGUCCGUCGUGAAGAGGGAAACAACCCAGACCGCCAGCUAAGGUCCCAAAGUCAUGGUUAAGUGGGAAACGAUGUGGGAAGGCCCAGACAGCCAGGAUGUUGGCUUAGAAGCAGCCAUCAUUUAAAGAAAGCGUAAUAGCUCACUGGUCGAGUCGGCCUGCGCGGAAGAUGUAACGGGGCUAAACCAUGCACCGAAGCUGCGGCAGCGACACUAUGUGUUGUUGGGUAGGGGAGCGUUCUGUAAGCCUGCGAAGGUGUGCUGUGAGGCAUGCUGGAGGUAUCAGAAGUGCGAAUGCUGACAUAAGUAACGAUAAAGCGGGUGAAAAGCCCGCUCGCCGGAAGACCAAGGGUUCCUGUCCAACGUUAAUCGGGGCAGGGUGAGUCGACCCCUAAGGCGAGGCCGAAAGGCGUAGUCGAUGGGAAACAGGUUAAUAUUCCUGUACUUGGUGUUACUGCGAAGGGGGGACGGAGAAGGCUAUGUUGGCCGGGCGACGGUUGUCCCGGUUUAAGCGUGUAGGCUGGUUUUCCAGGCAAAUCCGGAAAAUCAAGGCUGAGGCGUGAUGACGAGGCACUACGGUGCUGAAGCAACAAAUGCCCUGCUUCCAGGAAAAGCCUCUAAGCAUCAGGUAACAUCAAAUCGUACCCCAAACCGACACAGGUGGUCAGGUAGAGAAUACCAAGGCGCUUGAGAGAACUCGGGUGAAGGAACUAGGCAAAAUGGUGCCGUAACUUCGGGAGAAGGCACGCUGAUAUGUAGGUGAAGCGACUUGCUCGUGGAGCUGAAAUCAGUCGAAGAUACCAGCUGGCUGCAACUGUUUAUUAAAAACACAGCACUGUGCAAACACGAAAGUGGACGUAUACGGUGUGACGCCUGCCCGGUGCCGGAAGGUUAAUUGAUGGGGUCAGCGCAAGCGAAGCUCUUGAUCGAAGCCCCGGUAAACGGCGGCCGUAACUAUAACGGUCCUAAGGUAGCGAAAUUCCUUGUCGGGUAAGUUCCGACCUGCACGAAUGGCGUAAUGAUGGCCAGGCUGUCUCCACCCGAGACUCAGUGAAAUUGAACUCGCUGUGAAGAUGCAGUGUACCCGCGGCAAGACGGAAAGACCCCGUGAACCUUUACUAUAGCUUGACACUGAACAUUGAGCCUUGAUGUGUAGGAUAGGUGGGAGGCUUUGAAGUGUGGACGCCAGUCUGCAUGGAGCCGACCUUGAAAUACCACCCUUUAAUGUUUGAUGUUCUAACGUUGACCCGUAAUCCGGGUUGCGGACAGUGUCUGGUGGGUAGUUUGACUGGGGCGGUCUCCUCCUAAAGAGUAACGGAGGAGCACGAAGGUUGGCUAAUCCUGGUCGGACAUCAGGAGGUUAGUGCAAUGGCAUAAGCCAGCUUGACUGCGAGCGUGACGGCGCGAGCAGGUGCGAAAGCAGGUCAUAGUGAUCCGGUGGUUCUGAAUGGAAGGGCCAUCGCUCAACGGAUAAAAGGUACUCCGGGGAUAACAGGCUGAUACCGCCCAAGAGUUCAUAUCGACGGCGGUGUUUGGCACCUCGAUGUCGGCUCAUCACAUCCUGGGGCUGAAGUAGGUCCCAAGGGUAUGGCUGUUCGCCAUUUAAAGUGGUACGCGAGCUGGGUUUAGAACGUCGUGAGACAGUUCGGUCCCUAUCUGCCGUGGGCGCUGGAGAACUGAGGGGGGCUGCUCCUAGUACGAGAGGACCGGAGUGGACGCAUCACUGGUGUUCGGGUUGUCAUGCCAAUGGCACUGCCCGGUAGCUAAAUGCGGAAGAGAUAAGUGCUGAAAGCAUCUAAGCACGAAACUUGCCCCGAGAUGAGUUCUCCCUGACUCCUUGAGAGUCCUGAAGGAACGUUGAAGACGACGACGUUGAUAGGCCGGGUGUGUAAGCGCAGCGAUGCGUUGAGCUAACCGGUACUAAUGAACCGUGAGGCUUAACCUUACAACGCCGAAGCUGUU